GGCGGUGUGGUCUAGUGGUAUGAUUCUCGCUUAGGGUGCGAGAGGUCCCGAGUUCAAUUCUCGGCACAGCCC
rnacentral:tRNA from 1 species